rnacentral:rRNA from 1 species
GAGUUUGAUCAUGGCUCAGAUUGAACGCUGGCGGCAGGCCUAACACAUGCAAGUCGAACGGUAACAGGAAACAGCUUGCUGUUUCGCUGACGAGUGGCGGACGGGUGAGUAAUGUCUGGGAAACUGCCUGAUGGAGGGGGAUAACUACUGGAAACGGUAGCUAAUACCGCAUAACGUCGCAAGACCAAAGAGGGGGACCCUCGGGCCUCUUGCCAUCGGAUGUGCCCAGAUGGGAUUAGCUUGUUGGUGGGGUAACGGCUCACCAAGGCGACGAUCCCUAGCUGGUCUGAGAGGAUGACCAGCCACACUGGAACUGAGACACGGUCCAGACUCCUACGGGAGGCAGCAGUGGGGAAUAUUGCACAUGGGCGCAAGCCUGAUGCAGCCAUGCCGCGUGUAUGAAGAAGGCCUUCGGGUUGUAAAGUACUUUCAGCGGGGAGGAAGGGAGUAAAGUUAAUAUCUUUGCUCAUUGACGUUACCCGCAGAAGAAGCACCGGCUAACUCCGUGCCAGCAGCCGCGGUAAUACGGAGGGUGCAAGCGUUAAUCGGAAUUACUGGGCGUAAAGCGCACGCAGGCGGUUUGUUAAGUCAGAUGUGAAAUCCCCGGGCUCAACCUGGGAACUGCAUCUGAUACUGGCAAGCUUGAGUCUCGUAGAGGGGGGUAGAAUUCCAGGUGUAGCGGUGAAAUGCGUAGAGAUCUGGAGGAAUACCGGUGGCGAAGGCGGCCCCCUGGACGAAGACUGACGCUCAGGUGCGAAAGCGUGGGGAGCAAACAGGAUUAGAUACCCUGGUAGUCCACGCCGUAAACGAUGUCGACUUGGAGGUUGUGCCCUUGAGGCGUGGCUUCCGGAGCUAACGCGUUAAGUCGACCGCCUGGGGAGUACGGCCGCAAGGUUAAAACUCAAAUGAAUUGACGGGGGCCCGCACAAGCGGUGGAGCAUGUGGUUUAAUUCGAUGCAACGCGAAGAACCUUACCUGGUCUUGACAUCCACGGAAGUUUUCAGAGAUGAGAAUGUGCCUUCGGGAACCGUGAGACAGGUGCUGCAUGGCUGUCGUCAGCUCGUGUUGUGAAAUGUUGGGUUAAGUCCCGCAACGAGCGCAACCCUUAUCCUUUGUUGCCAGCGGUCCGGCCGGGAACUCAAAGGAGACUGCCAGUGAUAAACUGGAGGAAGGUGGGGAUGACGUCAAGUCAUCAUGGCCCUUACGACCAGGGCUACACACGUGCUGCAAUGGCGCAUACAAAGAGAAGCGACCUCGCGAGAGCAAGCGGACCUCAUAAAGUGCGUCGUAGUCCGGAUUGGAGUCUGCAACUCGACUCCAUGAAGUCGGAAUCGCUAGUAAUCGUGGAUCAGAAUGCCACGGUGAAUACGUUCCCGGGCCUUGUACACACCGCCCGUCACACCAUGGGAGUGGGUUGCAAAAGAAGUAGGUAGCUUAACCUUCGGGAGGGCGCUUACCACUUUGUGAUUCAUGACUGGGGUGAAGUCGUAACAAGGUA